GUGACGGUGGGUACGGCUUCAUUUCGCACACGAAAGACACAAUUGUUUCCUAAAGGUAAGCUAAAUAUUCAGACAUGACUAUUGUUUCGUUGGAAAUGGUGUUUUUUAGUUCGUGACUAUCAACAAGCGCACUAUAUUUAACCCAUUUUGCAUAGAAAAUUCACCAAACUCAAGGUUCCGCUGUUUUGCCAAAUUUAGGCGAACGGGUAAAUAUGAAUUCUGUUAUAUUUUGGUAAGUUUUAGUUGUUUUUACACCAUGAAUAAUACUAGUAUAGCUGCACGACUUGAAAUAUUGGCGAUGUGUGCAUCUAAAAAAGCCAACAUUGCAAACUGCUAACGUUAAGCCUCCGAUGGAAACAACUUUGUUCUGUCGCGAAGUUGUUCAUUACGUCGUGGAAACGGCGCGUUUUCCGUAAGACCACCCUCAAAAUAAAAAGAUUUAGUUUUUAAUCCAACAUAAAUGGCGAAUGUUGUCAAAUAUUUUACAUCAUUUAUGGUUUCAUCGCGACUGCUGUCUGGUUCGUCAAGGCUAAACCUUUGAGAGGGAACACUAAAGAGAGAGCGAAAAGAAAUCCCGUAUGUCCCCAUUGCGCAUGUUUUGACUAGACCAAUAGCAAAACCACGUUGCGAAAACGGAUUCUGGCUAGCGAGCUAGCUAGCAACAGUCUAGCUUGGAUGAAGUUUAUACAGCGGAGAGAGUUAACGUUUUCAGAGGGAUAGUGGAAGUGAUAAAGGGCUGGUUUAAAUAUGUGCAAGGUGUUGUCAAAGCUUGGAUCGGGUCCCUUUUUUUAUUAUGUAGAAAUGCUGGUGCGAGUGGAGUAUCAGACAGUCCAGAGAUGGGUCCGGGUUCCAGUGACAGAUGACUGCCAUUUUUACUUGAAAUGUGCAAGUUGGAUCUUCGCAGUGUGUUGAUGGCGAAGGACUGAAAACGCGGGGUGACAGCCUGGGGUCCUCACAUGGCGUCCUUGGUGGGGGCCUGAAAACAUGAGCCAGCUGCUGGCUGAGGAGUAAAAAUGAGAGGAGGAACUGAAUGCAAAUUGGCUUUUUCAGCGCAUCAAUUGCUGAAAUGCUUUGUGUUUGAGUUGCACAUUGUCCCCUUUUUAAAAAGCCAGGUUAAAGAAAAAUAGAUGCAUUAAUAGUUUAUGCUUUCAAAUUUGCAAAGCGUACUGACAUUUUCCAACACAGCCAUGAGAAGACGAGUUACACCAUUUAAUUUUCCUUUGGGGUCAAUGAAAUAUUUUGCUAACCCUGUUGUCUUCUCUCUUUAUUUCAUUUCUCUCUCAACUCAUGUCACAUGACUGAAGUUGACCAACAACUACAGCAGAAGACCAGCUCCACCUGCUGAUCUACUGGUUGUAACAGAUUGUGGAAAAGCAUCAAUGAGACAAGACAACAGCACUGGACCAAUCAGGAGAGAGAAGACACAAGAACAGAGGCGACACAAAAAAACCCUGCUGGAAAUCCCGAGAUGAAGUUUCCUGAUGGAACAAGGGGACACCUGAGGACACACAAUAAAGAGACAGAAAUCAUGUGAAAUAGGUCCUUCAAUAACAAACCAAGCACUGCCGUAGGAUCUUAUGUUGAAAUUUCACCUGUUCAUGAGUCGGGCGUUGAAUAUUAAACAAUUUUAGACACA